rnacentral:piRNA from 1 species
UGGGAUGAGUCCAAGACUACAACAUUGACACC